GAUGAACGCUGGCGGCGUGCCUAAUACAUGCAAGUCGAGCGAACAGACGAGGAGCUUGCUCCUCUGACGUUAGCGGCGGACGGGUGAGUAACACGUGGAUAACCUACCUAUAAGACUGGGAUCACUUCGGGAAACCGGAGCUAAUACCGGAUAACAUGUUGAACCGCAUGGUUCAACAGUGAAAGACGGUCUUGCUGUCACUUAUAGAUGGAUCCGCGCCGCAUUAGCUAGUUGGUAAGGUAACGGCUUACCAAGGCAACGAUGCGUAGCCGACCUGAGAGGGUGAUCGGCCACACUGGAAGUGAGACACGGUCCAGACUCCUACGGGAGGCAGCAGUAGGGAAUCUUCCGCAGUGGGCGAAAGCCUGACGGAGCAGCGCCGCGUGAGUGAAGAAGGUCUUCGGAUCGUAAAACUCUGUUAUUAGGGAAGAACAAAUGUGUAAGUAACUAUGCACGUCUUGACGGUACCUAAUCAGAAAGCCACGGCUAACUACGUG
rnacentral:rRNA from 1 species